UUUGCCAGGCCUUGAUCUAUAAUAAUAGAGAUUUGGUGAUCACCCCAGCUGAUUUUCUCAAAACACGUUCUCUUUCAGGACCUGAACUUCUUCAGUAGGAGUUCUAUUUGUAUCAUAUACAUGGGGAAUUACAAAAUUUCACUGCAUUUUUGCUACAAAGAUUGAUGUGGCAAAUCCUCAGCAAGCAGAGUAAAUCUCGUCACUUAUGCAGAAUGGUGAAGAUUAUGAAAAGUAGCAGGUGUUGGGGAGGAGAAAGCAUCUCAUUGACAUACCUGCUGUAUUUAUUAAGGAAAGUGCUUUCAUUGGAAUGUGACAUUUUUCUUAGAUUCUUAGUGGGUUUCUGGUGAACAUAUCUGGUUUUGGUGCCCUUAAUUUAAGUGGUGAGAGAUGAUUGAAGGGGGAAAUAGAAUUUGACUUUUUCUUAGUGAAGUAAAAAAGGAAGUUCAUCCAUUGAACUGGAAGCAUUUAGUGGAGUUACUGGAAGACCAAGAUACAUGCUUGAAAAAAACAGAAAGUGCAAAGCUUCACAGAGACACAAAGAGAGAGGCAGAGACACAAGCAGAGGGAGAAGCAGGCUACAUGCAGGGAGUCCCAUGUGGGACCUGAUCCCAGGACUCCAGGAUCACUCCCAGAGCUGAAGGCAGAUGCUCAACCACUGAGCCGACCAGGUACUCCUUAGAAUUCCUUUUUUAAAAAACUGUGUUUUCAU
rnacentral:lncRNA from 1 species